rnacentral:tRNA from 3 species
CGGGACAUAGCUCAAAUGGCAGAGUGGGGCAAUUGGUGCCCUGGAUUCAGGUUCGACUCCUGGUGGCCCGAC